AUGCCUCAUUGUCUGUUUGAGCUCUUCUAUUGGCUCCAAACUGUGAGAAACUCCAACAAGCUCAAGCCUCACACAUUCAUAUGGAGAUUUGGGAGUAUAAAUAGAGGAGCUGCAGCCAGUGCAAAUCAGACUCACUCUGAACAGAGAGAUCUACAGCACAGAGAUCCAGACAUGACACCUACAAUCAUCUCAAAGGAGCAGCUCCCUCUCAACAACAAGCUGAGAAAGCAAGGCCCAGGGUGGAGAAGAUGCACAGAGAUCGUAUCAACAGCAGCAUCGAGCAGCUCAAGUGUCUUCUGGCUCCAGAGUUCCUCAAACAGCAGCCUGAUUCCAAGCUGGAGAAAGAAGAUAUCCUGGAGAUGAUGCUCAACUUCCUGCAGUUCACAUGCUGUCCAAAGAUGAGAUGAAGACAGAGAGCCAGAGAAGACUGAUGANGCCUUAAAGAAUCAGACUGGACGUUUGCACUAGACUCAGUGGACUAUUAUGCAUUCAGUUUCUCUUUUUGAGAAAAGGUGUUUCAUGAGUUCCAGUUUGGAAGAUAUUUGUACUGUUAAGUGCUCUGAUGAUUCAAACUUCUAUGAAGAGUUCAUGUCAAGAGUUCCAGAUUGGAACAUUUACUGAUGUCUAUAUUAGACACUGAGUGCAAGAUACAUCUGCAUGUGAUGUGAAAGAAACACUGUCUUUAUUAUUUUAAAGGCCAUUUAUUAUCUGAUAACUACUCAGAUACUAAUGCUUUAUUGUAAAAGCUGAAAAAAAGUGAAAUUCUUGAUUUUAAUAUGAUGGCAAGAAUCUUGCUCCAUUAUUAGUUCUGGGCUUAUAUUUGAUUUCAUCUGAGAUGAUAAUCAUUCAUAAAGUAUUAUUCAUAUUUGAUGUUUUUCUCUAUGGUCUAAAAUAGAUCAUAUUCACAUUUACCCAGUUUUUAGGGUUUGUAAACAUUUGUUGGUUCUCAACGUUCUCCGAAUCUUUUCCUGUACUGUAUACAGCUGUCAUUGUUCCUUCUGUGAAGGUUUAUAUUCUCAUGAUAAACUUUGCCAUCUUGUCAUUUAUAUUUUUAAUAGAUCAUGUGAUCAUUUGUGUCCUUCUGUGAAGGUGACUGAAGUUUUAAAAGACUAAAGCAGUUCAGUGAAUGUAUUUCUGCUGCAAAAUAAAACAAUCAACUGAACGUCUGACUGUGAUUAU
ensembl:lncRNA